AGCUUUGCGCAGUGGCAGAAUCGUAGCCAAUGAGGUUUAUCCGAGGCACGAUUAUUGCUAAUUGAAAACUUUUCCCAAGUCAGACAUCCUUGGUACUGAAAUGACUGCAUUGAUAUGGUUGUG
ensembl:snRNA LOC120099617 U4 spliceosomal RNA